CUGCGCGUGGUCGGCGCGUUCGCCUUCCGGCCGCUCCUGGUGGCCGUCGCCGUGGUGCGGGCCGCCGCCGACCGUUCGGGCCCGCUCGCGCGCCC
rnacentral:tRNA from 1 species